GAAUGUUAUUUAGAUAACCCAGAGUUUUGGUCAAUUGCUUUCAAGGUCAUAAAGAGGUUUAGAAUUCAGGAGUUUUACUUAUUUACUACUGUGCACAGUCAAAAGAAUAAAUAGAUUAAGAGUUCAAGUUAGCCCAAUGCAAAACAUAAUCACUUGACUGCUGUGACACUGCCUCGUUCCUUGGAGAAACCAACUUCAGAGACAUUGUUCAGCCUUCAUUCAAGUAUCUAACGUUCCUACUCUCUGAUGGCCAAGUAAUGCACUGGCAAUGACCUGGAGACAAAUACCGAUACUUUUGCAUCAUCUGAGAAACACUUAUGCAAGAAAGAGUCAAGUGAACUGAAGAGUGAGGUUCCGAAGGCAAAUGACAUUCUCCAGCAUCUCACUCAAAUGACCAUGAACGUGUUGCAGAGGGGUAUCAAAACAAGGCUAAUCUGAUCUUCAAACAUUUGCGAUAACUGGUGUUACACUCAAGGACCUUGAUCCAAAAGCAGCAAGAGAUGGAGAGAGAAAUAAAGAGCAAAGGGAGGGCCAAGCUAAUGUAUCAUGCCUCCUCACAGUGAAGUAAUCCACUGGAAUGUUCCAUCAAGAAUUAUACAUGAAUGAUAAGAAUUGUUACAACAUGAGGCAACCAACUACCCGAUCUACCCCCAGCAGCUGGAGCACAAGUUACGUUGUAUCUUUUUUCAGAACACAUGGUGCAGUCAGGUAGUUUUUGCUAGAUUUUAACUCUCUUAAAAGGUCCAGUAUACUCACAUCUUCAUAACAGCAUUAAGAGAACACAUGAAAUCAUAUUCCAGAAAAGACGAUGCAUUUUGAUAAGAGACAAUAACUGAAACAAAGUGUUGGAAAUAAAUAAUGCUGUGAAUAUAAAAUGACCCCAUCACAAUUUUAAAUUUACUUUAACACUGCCAAGUAUUUAUGAAAUCAAGCUACACUAUGCUGAUUCAUUUGAAGAUUGAAAUAAAUUUUACUGCUGUUC